UUCCAUCCUACUACCAAGGGUCACACAAGGUAAAUAUAUCAAUCCCUUCCCUUCUCUCCUCACAACAUACACUUUUCAAAAUCUUCUUCUCUAGCAAAAACAAAUAUAGAGAGAAAGGCGAGAGAGAGUCAGAAAGUAGGUGCCACUGCCUUUUUGUUUCAAUCACAACCAAAUUAAGAAAUCGAAUCUGCCAAGCCAAAGAGAUCAAUUUCUUCUCGGCUCUAUAGCUUUGCAUCACAAUUUCCAAUCGGUUGAGGUGGUUCGCACGCUCGUUAAAGUUGGAUCAAGAAGUUUGUUAAGGAAACUACUAAGCUUUUGAGGUUGAGCGUGGAUGGAGGACGGAGGAUGUUGAGCAUUUGGACAAAGGCAGUAUUCAAUAAAUGUUUCGGUUGCUAUUGUGUCUUCAUACAUAGUAGUAGCUAACUCUCGAUUGCUUCUGCUAUGUCAAGUUUUUAGAACUCUUAUGAUUUCUUUAUUCUGUUGGACUAUUUUCCUACGAAUUUCAGACUAUAUUUUGGUAAUAAAGUUGCGUCUUUUGAUCUA